UACGUAGGGGGCUAGCGUUGUCCGGAAUCAUUGGGCCUAAAGCGCGUGUAGGCGGUUCGGUAAGUCCGCUGUGAAAGUCGGGGGCUCAACCCUCGGAUGCCGGUGGAUACUGUCGGACUAGAGUACGGAAGAGGCGAGUGGAAUUCCUGGUGUAGCGGUGAAAUGCGCAAAUAUCAGGAGGAACACCGAUUGCGAAGGCAGCUCGCUGGGACGUUACUGACGCUGAGACGCGAAAGCGUGGGGAGCAAACAGG
rnacentral:rRNA from 1 species